CAUGGGAGCAGUUGUUGUCAUAAUCUCACUGGGGUUGCUAUUGGUGGUGAUCUCUUCUGUGGGUACGCUUUUUGGAAGAUGUGUCUGUGAAUUACAUAGUUGGAGCGAAGCAACCUGACUAUCUGGUUACUGCUGAUGAUGUUGAUUCAUACCUUGCCAUUGAAGUAGAGCCCCUUGAUGGCAGGAACAGGAUGGGAUUUCACUUGCACACAUUUAGUAGAUAAAACACCCUCCCCAGUGAUUUUCUAUUCUCAUUUUCAAAAUGUUUCUUGUGGUUAGCUGUUCAAUUUACAUUUGGAACUUCAAACAUUGUUACAGUGAGGCAAAUGCAUUUUAGCGGCUGGCCACAAGGGUAUUUUGAUGCAAACAUCAAUUGGGCCCUCAGUACCACCACUCCUGGAAGAGUAAGUCAUGUAUCCUUGCCGUUUUGUUUUGUUUUGCAGGUCAAGUGGAGCUUGCUGCCGUAGGAGUUUCCAUUGCUGUAUUUAAUCAAGUAUCAAGGGUUCCUAUCUUCAGAGGAUUUUUUUGACGCUACUCGCGUUGGGAGUACCAUAUAGAGGAUUUUUUUUUUAUAUAAAAUUAUUUAAGACCAUUUUCAAUUUAUUAUUAAAAAUAUUAUAAAUAUUUUUUAUUGUGAAGUAAUAUAGAUUUUGUUUAAUAUUUAGUUUAAAUUGUAUUGCAACAUUUUUUAUGUUUCAAAUAUUAAAAAAAAAUACAGGUU